AUGGCGAGUCAGGCCCCACUGCGCCUGCGCCCUGAACCCGCCGGGGCUCCUUCCCGGGGCGCCUAGGACCCCGGCGCCCUCCCGCCGGGCUGUCUUCGAUAUUGCCGGUCUUCUUCCAGUUGCUUCUGCCUCGUUUUUCACCUGGAGGCAAGCAGAUUGUCACAAUGAAACGCUAAAGAUCCAUCUGUGUUGUAUGAAUGACGUGCAGGCUCAGAAAGGAGACGAAAUCGGAUAGAAUGUGCUACGACUCGACAGGCAGGAGAAGGGCCAGACUGCAAAGGCCCUCACGCGGCUAACCCGCUAAGGGCGGAGGACGCCACGCUAGUGGGCGGGGCACAAGGGACGGCACGUCGGGGGCGGGGCCUGGGGGCGGAGCGUCCUCUCCGGGAGGCGGGCGGGUGGGCGUGGCCUGGGGCAUCCCUGGGGAGAGCCUGCGCGCACCUGAGCUCCGGGAGCCGCAGGGUCCGGCGCUCUGCAGCGUGGGCCUCAUCCUCCGCGCUUACAUGCAGCCUCCCUGUGUCCUUGUGCCGUGCUCCGCCCUCUGGCCGCAUUAGCAGAUUUCCUCGGACCGCCCUGAACGUAAGAGGCUCGGUGCCCCUCCCCCCGCCCAGGCCCCUGCAAAUGUUACCUCGCUUGGAAACAGUCUUUGCAGAUUAAAGAUCUGCGCAUGGAUUAUCCUGGAUUAACAGAACGGGCCCUCCGUGCAGCCACGUGCAUCCUCUGAAGACGGAGGCAGAUGGACAUUUGAUAGAAACAGAAGAGGAACAGUGUACCCCAGAGGGCAGAGAGGAUGAUGAUGAUGUCGCUACAAGUCGAGGAAUGCCAGCAGCCCCGCGACACGGAAGAGGCAAUAAAGGAUUCUCCGCUGACCUCUGGAGCGGACCGGUGGGAUUUUGGACUUCCGACCUCCCCAACCGCGACAGAAUAAACUUGUUUUAACCCGC